UACGUAGGGUGCAAGCGUUUAAUCGGAAUUACUGGGCGUAAAGCGUGCGCAGGCGGUUUUGUAAGUCUGUCGUGAAAUCCCCGGGCUCAACCUGGGAAUUGCGAUGGAGACUGCAAGGCUAGAAUCUGGCAGAGGGGGGUGAGAAUUCCACGUGUAGCAGUGAAAUGCGUAGAGAUGUGGAGGAACACCGAUGGCGAAGGCAGCCCCCCUGGGUCAAGAUUGACGCUCAUGCACGAAAGCGUGGGGAGCAAACAGG
rnacentral:rRNA from 1 species